UUUCCGUAGGUGAACCUGCGGAAGGAUCAUUACCUAGUGAACGCCCGUCCAGGACGCAGGCUCUCGGGCUUGCUACUGCGGGUGUAUCCACAACCCGUGUCUAUGUACUCUUGUUGCUUUGGCGGGCCGCGGCCUCCGCUACGGGCUCUGCUCGUACGUGCCCGCCAAGGGUCCAAACUCUGAAUUUUAGUGAUGUCUGAGUACUAUAUAAUAGUUAAAACUUUCAACAACGGAUCUCUUGGUUCUGGCAUCGAUGAAGAACGCAGC
rnacentral:misc_RNA from 1 species